rnacentral:lncRNA from 1 species
AAAAAAAAAAAAAGAAAAUCUUGCGGACAUAAAUAAAUUUUAUCCUUACCCAUAUGCUCUACGGAUAUCAUGAUCCGCCCUUGAAUUAUCCAACUUGCCUGUUUACCGAGUUUAGUAAUAACAGUAUAAUAACAAAGAGUCUCGCUAUGGUGCUUUUAAAACAACAAGCACUUAAUACUUGCAAGUUUUCAACCGUUAGAUCUAUCCCUUUGACCAAAUCUAUUCCUUAGAUCAUCCUAUUUCAUCAACCAUGCAUCUACUCAACUCUAGAGAACAAAUAUUAUCUUAACCAUUCAAAUCUUCAUCCAAUGGCCAAAAAUUUACAAGCACGAAUAAUUUGACACUUUAAAUAAUUUA